UGGAGAGAAGUGCAGUUUAAGAGCGCCACAUCCAGUGGUAGCGACUGAGUGACCAACAUCAAGUUGG
rnacentral:sRNA from 1 species